rnacentral:rRNA from 1 species
UCAUGCUACACUACUGCCUACCAAGCUACGAUAGGUAGUCGACCCUUGGAGAGGGUGACACGGCACACAUUGGGACUGAGAUACGGCCCAGACUCCUACGGGAGGCAGCAGCUGAGAAUCUUCCACAAUGGACGAAAGUCUGAUGGAGCGACAUCGCGUGAGGGAUGAAGGCCUUCGGGUUGUAAACCUCUUAAAUUAUCGACGAAUGAGUGACAGUAGAUAAUGUAAGCCUCGGCUAACUACGUGCCAUA